rnacentral:rRNA from 1 species
CGCAUACGUCCUACGGGAGAAAGCAGGGGACCUUCGGGCCUUGCGCUAAUAGAUGAGCCUAAGUCGGAUUAGCUAGUUGGUGGGGUAAAGGCCUACCAAGGCGACGAUCUGUAGCGGGUCUGAGAGGAUGAUCCGCCACACUGGGACUGAGACACGGCCCAGACUCCUACGGGAGGCAGCAGUGGGGAAUAUUGGACAAUGGGGGGAACCCUGAUCCAGCCAUGCCGCGUGUGUGAAGAAGGCCUUUUGGUUGUAAAGCACUUUAAGCGAGGAGGAGGCUACCGAGAUUAAUACUCUUGGAUAGUGGACGUUACUCGCAGAAUAAGCACCGGCUAACUCUGUGCCAGCAGCCGCGGUAAUACAGAGGGUGCAAGCGUUAAUCGGAUUUACUGGGCGUAAAGCGCGCGUAGGUGGCCAAUUAAGUCAAAUGUGAAAUCCCCGAGCUUAACUUGGGAAUUGCAUUCGAUACUGGUUGGCUAGAGUAUGGGAGAGGAUGGUAGAAUUCCAGGUGUAGCGGUGAAAUGCGUAGA